rnacentral:rRNA from 1 species
AGCGAACGCUAGCGGCGGGCUUAACACAUGCAAGUCGAGCGCGUGGCUUCGGCCACGAGCGGCGAACGGGUGAGUAAUGCGUCGGAACGUGCCGAGUAAUGGGGGAGUAACGCAGCGAAAGUUAGUGCUAAUACCGCAUACGCCCUGAGGGUGGAAAGACGGGGGACCGGCAAGGCCUCGCGCGAUAGGAGCGGCCGAUAUCGGAUUAGCUAGUUGGUGAGGUAAAGGCUCACCAAGGCGACGAUCCGUAGCGGGUCGUGAGAGGACGACCCGCCACACUGGAACUGAGACACGGUCCAGACUCCUACGGGAGGCAGCAGUGGGGAA